rnacentral:misc_RNA from 1 species
ACACCUCAACUCUCAUGGUUUUUCCGUGACGAGCUUGGACUUUGGGGGUCUUGCUGGCCUGUAGUCAGCUCCUCUUAAAUGAAUCAGCUUGCCAGUGUUUGGUGGCAUCGCAGGUGUGAUAACUAUCUACGCUUGUGGUUUUCCAUCAGGUAACCUUCAGUGAUGGAGGUUCGCUGGAGCUCAUAAAGGUCUCUCCUCGGUGAGGAGGGGGCUUCUUUUGAAU